AAAAUAUUAUCAUAGUAAAAAUCAAGCAUAUUAAAAAUGAUAACUAAAAGCAAUAACAUGAAUUAGAUGAGGUAAAAGCUAAGAAUAUAAUUGAAUUAGUUGCUUCUCACUUUUUUAUACCACCAUGACAAAUCACCAUCACAUAGAUUUUUAUUUAUUUUUUUAUUUUAUUCUUUCUCUUUCCUUCCCCCACGUGAAAGAAAGAUUUCUUUCUUAUCUUUUUUUCUUUUCUUCUUUCUCUUUCCCUUCCCCCACGUGGAAGAAAGAUUUCUUUCUUAUCCUUUCUUCUUCUUCCUCUCUUCCCUUCGUCUUGUUCCUCCCUCUCUUCUGUGCCAGAUCAGUUAACAACCAAAAACAAAAAAAACCAAAAUUUCCAAUUUCGGCCCUCUCUUUUCUCUUCUCUUCUCUUCUCUUCUCUCUGUGUAUCCCCAUCUUUUCCCCCUUCAGUUUUUCUCCGACUGAUUACCACAAACCAAACACACACACAAAUCAACACAAACACACCCAACCAGUCCGGCCGACAUAUCCCAGAAAUUUCCACCUUUUCCUGUCGACAAUCGGCCGAUCUUUCCAUCUUAUCCACCCAAAACCCGAAAUCUUCACCGACAAUGGACGAUUCCGUCGACUUCCAUCGAUUCCGGCGACAAAUUGACGACACGCAUGCAAGAAACUUCUCCCCCCCCCCCUGUCGGUGUCGGACGGGGUCGACAACGGAAACUGUCGCUGACAUUUCCACCGUCUCGACGAUUUUUGCUUCCCUGGAGCUUUAUGAUGAAUGUCUCACAAGAUACAACGGCUGUAAGAUCUUGAACACGGCAUCUUCAAAACCUUUCCUUCGAAGUUUUGCAUACCUUCACUUUAUUACUGUCAUUGAUUUUCUCUCUGCUUUUCAUCUAUUUCUUAAAAACCUUUUUUCUCUAUGUUUUUCUUUUUCUCUGAAAAAUCUACUGAAAGGAAUGUUGAAAGAACGUGAAAACA